rnacentral:rRNA from 1 species
AUUGAACGCUGGCGGCAGGCCUAACACAUGCAAGUCGAGCGAGUGGCGGACGGGUGAGUAAUGCGUGGGAAACUGCCUGAUGGAGGGGGAUAACUACUGGAAACGGAAGCUAAUACCGCAUACCAUCAGAUGUGCCCAGAUGGGAUUAUCUGUUAGGUGGGGUAACGGCUCACCUAGGCGACGAUCCCUAGCUGGUCACAGAGGAUGACCAGCCACACUGGGACGGAGACACGGUCCAGACUCCUACGGGAGGCAGCAGUGGGGAAUUGUGCACAAUGGACGCAAGCCUGAUGCAGCCAUGCCGCGUGUAUGAAGAAGGCCUUCGGGUGGGAAAGCUCUUUCAGAGGAGAGGCGUUACCCACAGAAGAAGCACCGGCUAACUCCGUGCCAGCAGCCGCGGUAAUAC